rnacentral:rRNA from 1 species
GUCACGGCUAACUACGUGCCAGCAGCCGCGGUAAUACGUAGGUGGCAAGCGUUAUCCGGAUUUAUUGGGCGUAAAGAGAGUGCAGGCGGUUUUCUAAGUCUGAUGUGAAAGCCUUCGGCUUAACCGGAGAAGUGCAUCGGAAACUGGAUAACUUGAGUGCAGAAGAGGGUAGUGGAACUCAUGUGUAGCGGUGGAAUGCGUAGAUAUAUGGAAGAACACCAGUGGCGAAGGCGGCUACCUGGUCUGCAACUGACGCUGAGACUCGAAAGCAUGGGUACGCGAACAGGAUUAGACUACCCGUGGUAG